rnacentral:rRNA from 1 species
GCUUAACACAUGCAAGUCGAACGGUAACAGGCGAAAAGCUUGCUUUUCGCGCUGACGAGUGGCGGACGGGUGAGUAAUGCGUAGGAACCUGCCCUAAAGAGGGGGACAACCCGGGGAAACUCGGGCUAAAACCGCAUAAUCUUUUCGAAGCAAAGCUGGCUACUUGUAGCUGGUGCUUUAGGAGGGGCCUACGUUGGAUUAGCUUGUUGGUAGGGUAAAGGCCUACCAAGGCUAUGAUCUAUAGCUGUUCUGAGAGGAAGAUCAGCCACACUGGGACUGAGACACGGCCCAGACUCCUACGGGAGGCAGCAGUGGGGAAUAUUGGACAAUGGGGGCAACCCUGAUCCAGCGAUGCCGCGUGUGUGAAGAAGGCCUGCGGGUUGUAAAGCACUUUUAAUAGGGAGGAAUAGUUCCAUGUUAAUAGCGUGGAGCAGUGACGUUACCUAUAGAAUAAGCACCGGCAAACUCUGUGCCAGCAGCCGCGGUAAUACAGAGGGUGCGAGCGUUAAUCGGAAUG